GACGAACGCUGGCGGCGUGCUUAACACAUGCAAGUCGAGCGGAAAGGCCCCUUCGGGGGUACUCGAGCGGCGAACGGGUGAGUAACACGUGAGUAAUCUGCCCUUCACUUUGGGAUAACCCCCGGAAACGGGAGCUAAUACCAGAUACGACCAUUCCAGGCAUCUGGUGGUGGGGGAAACUUUUUUGGGUGAGGGAUGUGCUCGCGGCCUAUCAGCUUGUUGGUGGGGUAAUGGCCUACCAAGGCUUUGACGGGUAGCCGGCCUGAGAGGGUGACCGGCCACACUGGGACUGAGACACGGCCCAGACUCCUACGGGAGGCAGCAGUGGGGAAUAUUGGACAAUGGGCGGAAGCCUGAUCCAGCAACGCCGCGUGAGGGAUGACGGCCUUCGGGUUGUAAACCUCUUUCAGCACCGACGGAGCGUGAGUGACGGUAGGUGCAGAAGAAGGACCGGCCAACUACGUGCCAGCCGCCGCAGUAACAC
rnacentral:rRNA from 1 species